rnacentral:rRNA from 1 species
UACGUAGGUGGCAAGCGUUAUCCGGAAUUAUUGGGCGUAAAGCGCGCGCAGGCGGUUUUGUAAGCCAGAUGUGAAAUCCCCGGGCUUAACCUGGGAAUGGCAUUUGGGACUGCAAGGCUCGAGUGCGGCAGAGGAGACUGGAAUUCCUGGUGUAGCAGUGAAAUGCGUAGAUAUCAGGAGGAACACCGAUGGCGAAGGCAGGUCUCUGGGCUGACACUGACGCUCAUGCACGAAAGCGUGGGGAGCAAACAGG